GUGCAGACUCUGAUGAAUUCAGCAAAAUGUGCCUCAGCAUAAUGUCCCUGAUCUCAGCUUUAUAUUUCAUCAUCAAGUACAGCCAUUUAAUAACUGCUACUGAAUCACAAAACGCCACACACCAUUCAGGCUGCAUGAUUGGCAUGUUAAAAAUUAAAUGAUAAUUUAGUGUAAAAGCCUUGACUCAUGUCUCAAAACUAAUGUGGCGUUUUAACUAUCAGCUGUCUAGGCAAAAGGAAGUCAUCCAGCCAGCCAUUAUGUCUCAGGUAGGCAGAGAAUGCGAAAACAGGAAAUGCAAAAGGUUACAAAGGCCCCAACAGGCCGCCAAACCUGAGCUCAUAAACUGCGUUUAUGUCCUGGUGAAUCGCGAGUUGUGUGGAGUUAAAUAUUCAGGUACUGUAUGUCCUACCCAGCAACUGCCCCAGUUAGAUCUCUCAGCAUAGCUCUAAGCACAGCACCCAAAAACAUGUGGGAUUGUGACAGGUUAUGUGACUCACAUGGGUGUGUGGCCAGGAUGAUGUGUACCCUGUGUUUUGGUCUCAACAUUUUGGAGGGUGUGGGAUGUUGUGUUAUUUUAGGAGCUUGCAGGAAGACUGGGUGAGCAGAAUGGCACAGUUAGAGCAGAUGUCCUCAGUUUUCAUUCCUCAAAAUCAACAACAUGGGAAUAAAGGUGAUGGGUUUUAUGUAUUUAUCUUUUUUAUUUGUAAGAUUUCUUGCCCACCCUUCACCAUAAGGUCACAGGACAGGUUACAAUGAUAUAAUAAUACAGGUAUACAAUGGUACCUCAGGUUAAGUACUUAAUUCGUUCCGGAGGUCCAUUCUUAACCUGAAACUGUUCUUAACCUGAGGUACCACUUUAGCUAAUGGGGCCUCGUGCUGCCACUGCACCACCGCCGUACAAUUUCUGUUCUUAUCCUGAAGCAAAGUUCUCAACCCGAGGUACUAUUUCUGGGUAAGCAGAGUCUGUAACCUGAAGCAUCUGUAACCUGAAGCGUCUGUAACCCGCGGUACCACAGUACAAACAAGUAAAACAGUGACAACAGUUCUAGUUACAGGCAGGUAGCCGUGUUGGUCUGCCGUAGUCAAAACAAAAUUUAACAAAUUCCUUCCAGUAGCACCUUAGAGACCAACUAAGUUUGUAUUGGUAUGAGCUUUCGUGUGCAUGCAGGGUAUCUGAAGAAGUGUGCAUGCACAUGAAAGCUCAUACCAAUAACAAACUUAGUUGGUCUCUAAGGUGCUACUGGACACGGGUGGCACUGUGGGUUAAACCACAGAGCCUAGGACUUGCCGAUCAGAAGGUUGGUGGUUCAAAUCCCCACGACAGGGUGAGCUCCCGUUGCUCGGUCCCUGCUCCUGCCAACCUAGCAGUUCGAAAGCACGUCAAAGUGCAAGUAGAUAAAUAGGUACCGCUCCGGCGGGAAGGUAAACGGCGUUUCCGUGCACUGCUCUGGUUCGCCAGAAGCAGCUUAGUCAUGCUGGCCACAUGACCCAGAAGCUGUACGCCGGCUCCCUCGGCCAGUAAAGCGAGAUGAGCGCCGCAACCCCAGAGUCGGUCACGACUGGACCUAAUGGUCAGGGGUCCCUUUACCUUUACCUUAAGGUGCUACUGGAGUGACAACAGUGACAUCACUAGAGAUGCUUCUAUGACAUCACCAGGAGCUGCCCCCAGGUCUCAGGUAUGGGCUCUGAAAUCUCCUGACCUGGCAAGCUGAGCACAGAAGCCAGUCCCACUGGAGGCAGGUUAAAGGCAGGAUAAAGCCCUGUCUUGAUCCGAUGAAACAUGUUGCAUCCUCAAAAUAUCUGACUUUCAUCAGCCUGGCCUGCUGAUUGCAUGUAAGGCACCUGCUGUUGAAUGACAGUUUAAGCCUGCUCUGGUUGUAAGUUUUUGACUUUACAGAUGUUAUUAAAAAAAGACAUUCCCACAGACCUGUUCAUUCCCAGAGAAAUCCCUUUCCAGAUGGGAAUUAGAGAGCAAGUUUCAGCAAAAUCUGCUUCUGUCUCACUUAAACGGGGGGGGGGGGGGAUAUUACAGCAACCUUCCUCUCCUAAUCUGUUCAUUUCAGGUUUGAUUUACCUGCGAAACUUUGAUCAGAAAUCUCUGUAGCUUUGUGAGAUUAUAUGUGGGUGUGGAGAGUUCUUUGCCCCCCCCCCAUGGGUGGAAAGUAUAACAAGGUUCUGUGAUUAUGAUUAUAUAUUUCAAAAGCCAGGAUUAGCCUGUGCUUUGUGAUUAAAAAGAUAUUGUACGGAGAUUGAAAAGGGGGAGAGAAUCACAUUUAAAAAAGACUUCUUGGCUAUUUGUUGGCAUUGAAGCCCGGCCUGGAACCUAAUAGUUGGGAAUAUAAGAAAUUUCUGUAUACGAGCACUUGUGAAUAGCUCAGUUUGGUGAGAGCAUUGUGCUGAUAACAUCAAGGUUGAAGGUUUGAUUCCCUUAUUCCUGCAUAUUCCUGCAUUGCUGGGACUUAGACUAAAUAAUUCUCAGGGUCCCUUCCAACUCUACAAUUCUACAAGCUCAGAUCAUUGGUACAUCUAGCUCAGUAUUGUCAACACUGGCAGGCUCUUCCGGAUUUCGGAAAGGUAACCUGCCCAGCAAUUCCUCUAGAUGCCAGGAGAUUUCCUGGAAAUUCCAGGGGGUGAACAUGGGAACUUUUGCAUGCAAGGCCGAUGCUGUACCAAUGAGCUACAGUCUUUCCACCCUGUUUUGGCAGCUUCCACUUUGGUAGGUAAAGGGACCCCUGACCAUUAGGUCCAGUCGUGGCCGACUCUGGGGUUGCGGCACUCAUCUCGCUUUACUGGCCGAGGGAGCCAGCGUACAGCUUCGGGCAACCAAAAUAUUAUGUGGCAACAGCUGUGCAACAACUGAGAAGGAACUGAAGUGAAAUAACAUUAUAAUCUGAAGUAUCCUAUGUUUUAUCCACUUUGUGUCAUAAACUUCAUUUGUUAAAUAAAAUAUCUCUUGUUUAUUUGAUCAAAUCCUGCCUGGGACUCCAAAUUAUUAAAUUUUCCCUCACACAAGUCCCCCAUAAAAUAAUCUGGGAUAGAUUGUAGGAAUUCAUGGAACUGGUGUUCUGUGAGGUGGGUGCACUAUAUUUAAGUGAGGGUGGGCCCAAUGGCACCAGGGGGGAAAGUGCCGUUGCGCCAUCACUCCUGAUAUAUAUAUGGAAAAAGCUAAUUUUUCUGGAAAUCUACAUUACCUCAGAAGUGGGACAGAGCUUCUGAAAUAACCCUCUCUUUUCUCUUCCAUGGAUUCUACUUGUUCAAGCUUAGCUGGAGCAUAAGGUGCAAAAAUUAGGACAAUGUUCCAAAGAGUGGUAAUCUAGCAGUUUAUCUAUCUCUGAUCAUCUUCUGGAAAUCUUCCAGGAUUAUGGGUUUACAAGGAGAGAUUAGCAAAAUAACUGAAGAACCUUCAGGUUAGUAAAUAGGAGGAUUAGAAAGCAAUGGUGGGGAGGCUCUUUGGGACGAUGGAUCUUCACCAGAAGCAAUAAAUAAAAGCUGAUCUUAAACUAUUGGGUAGAGAAGGGAGAAGGAAGAUGAUCAAGUGUGAAAUUGCAGAAGGAGAGUUAGAGGGUGGGGUUUAGAGGCUAUUAGGGAUGUGAAGAUUCUUCUUCUUCCGUUCCCUUACUAUUCUCUGGAUUUCCCCUGCCAUUUCUGCUGAAUUUUAGCUUAACCAGGACAAUGUUUAGGUUUAAUUCCAGAGGUGGAACAACAACAACAACAACAAUCUUGGUUUAAUUUAUAUAUUUCUUUUCUUUUUUAAAUAUAGUUUUAUUGAUUUCCAAUAUAUAAGAAUUGCAAAAAAGAAAGAAAGGGAUACAAAAACAAAAUCCCAACAUGCCACCCUCCCUGCUCGUUAAGUUUGCCGAAGUCCAGUCUGUGAUUUCAGUAGUUGCCGUUCUUCAGGACUGUCAGUGAAGUAUUUAUAAAAGGAUGCCAUAUUUCAACAAAAUCGUCUACAUCAUUUCCAUUAUUCAAUGCAUGUAAUCUCUUUGUUUUUUUCUGAUACAGCAAUAGACCAUACAUUCUGCUUCCAGCAAGAGAUGUUAUUAUUAACACCAAUUCAUUAUUUGCUUUCUAAAUAGUGAAAGACAUUUUAAAACAAGUUUUAAGACAAGACGAAAAGCAGACACUUGCAGUAAAAGACCUAGCUGGAAAAGCCCA